UAUACAUAUAUGUACAUACAUACGUAUAUUUAUACGCUUAACAAUUAAUGCAUUUUGAUUACACCCAUAUGACAAAUGCAGGAUAUUCACGUCUUGCAGCAAUGUUCUGGCAAGGUGCACGCGAAGUUUGACAGAAUAUCCAUUUCAUCCACACAGAAGUUAAAUUAUUUGCUAAAAUUUUAAUCUGAUUUUGAUACACUUCAAAAACAUGAUUGAAAUACAAUCCCGAGAAAUACAUGUCAAGCUGAAAACAGAUGAAGGCAAAAUUGCAAAACCUGUUUGUCCUAACCUUUCGUCGCUUCCUGUUUUGCUCAAAUAUCAACCGAUUGAUGACACCCGCGUCGAGAUAGAGUACCGACAUAUUCAUUUUCCACUGUAGAAAAUUGUUCGUGCAGACUAUCCUGCCGAUGACAAUUGCAACGAUAAUUGUUCCGUACGAAAAGGCUUUUUUAAGAUUCGAAAACCGGUAAAACGGCAACGGAAGAUUCUUCUAACAAGGAAAAGGAGGGGAGCAAAGUGGUCACGGGCGAAUCCAACUCCCAAGAAGCAAGGUGGUCAUUCUAAGAGGCUGUUGGUGAAAGUCACCCGUCCAGGACGAUAUUCAACCAUUUGAAGAAUUCAAGACUACACAUUUGGGGGGCCAGAAGGUCAACCUCAACGUUCCAUAACAGUGACAAUCCAAUCACCCAAACUUUCUAAGUUUCGAUUAGCACGGUUUACGUCCUCAUAUAUUGUUACUGAUUCCAGGAGUGGAGGAUACGAUAAUAGCUAAAUUCAAUAACUUUCUGCAUGUUACUUUUUGGACCUUUUGAUCAUAUACUUGCAUUCAAGAACUUUUUGGACCUCAUCAUACAGAUGAGGGCAGCGUUCAAGGAGGAAUAUUUAAUAACCAUCGCAACCCCAGCGAGUUAUUGGUACUUGAGGCACUUCAAGAUUGACACACAAAAUGGGAAAACUUAAUCAAAUCCUGCAAAAUUUGUACAUGUUCGAACGCUCAAAAAUGCUACUCUUUUAGCUGGUUCGGGUCCGUGCCGGGGAUUUGUUACCUCGCCCUGAAUUGCGUGGCACCCUACAAGGUUCUCAACAGUGGGGCUGGAACCUGCAAUACUCCGUAUGAAGUUUGUUGCAGCGAUGUGUGACGAAUUUUGUGAGGUCAAAGGUCAAAUAUGUACACUUGUAUUUUAGAGAAGAAUAAAUAAAACGGAAUCGUUACC